rnacentral:rRNA from 1 species
CCUACGGGUGGCAGCAGUGAGGAAUAUUGGUCAAUGGACGGAAGUCUGAACCAGCCAUGCCGCGUGCGGGAAGACGGCUCUAUGCGUUGUAAACUGCGUUUGUACAGGAGUAAGCCUGAAUACGUGAAUGCACCUUAUAUUACUGUACGUAUUAGGAUCGGCUAACUCCGUUCCAGCAGCCGCGGUACUACGGAGGAUCCAAGCGUUGUCCGGAUUGAUUGGGUUUAAAGGGAGCGUAGGCGGAUUGAUACGUUAGAGGUGAAAGGUCUGAGCUUAACUCGGGAACUGCAUCUGAUACUGUUGAUCUAGAGAGUAGAUGCGGUAGGCGGAAUGUAUGGUGUAGCGGUGAAAUGCUUAGAGAUAAUACAGAACACCGAUUGCGAAGGCAGCUUACCAAUCUAUAUCUGACGUUGAGGCACGAAAGCGUGGGGAGCGAACAGGAUUAGAUACCCGUGUAGUC